rnacentral:rRNA from 1 species
CCUACGGGUGGCAGCAGUGAGGAAUAUUGGUCAAUGGACGAGAGUCUGAACCAGCCAAGUAGCGUGAAGGAUGACUGCCCUAUGGGUUGGAAACUUCUUUUAUAAAGGAAUACAACGCGUCACGUGUGCCUUUUUGCAUGUACUUUAUGAAUAAGGAUCGGCUAACUCCGUGCCAGCCGCCGCGGUAAUACGGAGGAUCCGAGCGUUAUCCGGAUUUAUUGGGUUGAAAGGGCGCGUAGAUGGGUUGUUACGUCAGUUGUGACAGCUUGCGGCUCCACCGUAAAAUUGCAAUUGAUACUGGCAGUCUUGAGUACAGUUGAGGUAGGCGGAAUUCGUGGUGUAGCGGUGAAAUGCUUAGAUAUCACGAAGAACCCCGAUUGCGAAGGCAGCUUACUAAACUGUGACUGACAUUGAUGCUCGAAAGUGUGGGUAUCAAACAGGAUUAGAUACCCGGGUAGUC